GACGAACGCUGGCGGCGUGCUUAACACAUGCAAGUCGAACGGAAAGGCCCGGCUUUUGUGGGGUUCUCGAUUGGCGAACGGGUGAGUAACACGUGAGUAACCUGCCCUUGACUUUGGGAUAACUUCAGGAAACUGGGGCUAAUACCCGAUAGGAGCUCCUGCUGCAUGGUGGGGGUUGGAAAGUUUCGGCGGUUGGGGAUGGACUCGCGGCUUAUCAGCUUGUUGGUGGGGUAGUUGCUGACCAAGGCUUUGACGGGUAGCCGGCCUGAGAGGGUGACCGGGCACAUUAGGACUGAGAGAGGGAGCAGACUCCUACGGGAGGCAGCAGUGGAGAAUAUUGCACAAUGAGCGGAAGCCUGAUGCAGAAACGCCGCGUGCGGGAUGACGGCCUUCGGGUUGUAAACCGCUUUCGCCUGUGACGAAGCGUGAGUGACGGUAAUGGGUAAAGAAGCACCGGCUAACUACGUG
rnacentral:rRNA from 1 species